rnacentral:rRNA from 1 species
AUUGAACGCUGGCGGCAGGCCUAACACAUGCAAGUCGAACGAGCGGCGGACGGGUGAGUAAUGUAUGGGGACUGCCCGAUAGAGGGGGAUAACUACUGGAAACGGUGGAUAAUACCGCAUACUAUCAGAUAACCCAUAUGGGAUUAGCUAGUAGGUGGGGUAACGGCUAACCUAGGCGACGAUCCCUAGCUGGUCUGAGAGGAUGAUCAGCCACACUGGGCCUGAGACACGGGCCAGACUCCUACGGAGGCAGCAGUGGGGAAUAUUGCACAAUGGGCGCAAGCCUGAUGCAGCCAUGUCGCGUGUAUGAAGAAGGCCUUAGGGUUGUAAAGUACUUUCAGCGGGGAGGCGUUACCCGCAGAAGAAGCACCGGCUAACUCCGUGCCAGCAGCCGCGGUAAUUC